CUUGUGUGUGUGAAGCGAAUGUCAACAAAGAAUUGCAAAAAGAAUGUGAUUUUUAAACGCGCCGUUUUUAACGUUUUUUGCAGAAAUUUUCGUAAUGGAGCCAUCAGUCGGAGAAAAUGAAACCUGCUACGUGGCUGUGGAGUUUGCGGAUGUGUUCGAUUACGCUGCGGGUGGAAGCCGUUUAGUCGUCGAAGGCGAAAGAGCAUUCAAAGCUGAACAUCUUUUAUGGAAGCAGGCCGAAACAGUCCAGCUUGGUGCAAAAUGCACAAUAACGUGUUUUGAAUCAUAAGUAAUUAAUUCGCCUCUGUGCUUAAGGAAUUACUUUGAACUCAUCAAGAGGCUACUAAUAAACGACUUGUUUAAAAAAGGUAGUUUCAGGGAAGAAACACUUUAGUAAA